AAAAGAUGCGCAAGGAGAAGCUAAACUCGGAGAUUGAACGUUUGCUGUCUGAGAUGGUCUCGGUUGCAAAUGUUUCCUCUUGUGAUGAAGAGUUUACUACGAUUGAAGUAUACUGCGAUCGAAAGCUGGCUCGUGUGUAGCACGGAAAAAAGUCCUGUUUGCCUAUAGUGUAGUGCUUGAGGACGAAUUAUCGUCAUCUGGCGCUGAAGCAAUCCAAUCACCUACCAAAAAUUUCCGCUUCCAAGAAAUAGCGUCGGAAAGCGUCGUACCUUGAAAGCAAUUGCUAGGAAGCGGUUAAUGGAUCCUUUGAAUUUACCAGAACUUAACCUCGAAAAACAAGAUCAAGUAUAUCUGGAAGUUCGCCGCCACCUGAUCUAUUUCAACAGCUUUGCAUUAAUCCACCCCAAUACAAAAAAUAGAUUUACGUGCUGCUCCCCAAAUGACCCCCUUUCG